CCGGCGGCGGAGCAGGCCCGGCGGGGCCGCGCGUGACGCACUUCGGUAACCCGAGUCCCGCCCGGCGCCGCGCGGCCCCGGCCCCGAUGGGCCCCAGGGAAGGGGGGGGGGGGGGAAGCGGGCAGGCUGCGGCGGGAGGGGCAGCGCUCCCACACGGCCGGGCCGAAGCGGCCCAAAAUCAAAGGGAAAGCGCUGAGAGCGGCCCGGGGUGGCGAGUGUGGGUUCGAGCCGGGCAGCGCGGAGAGGAGAACGCCGAGCGGAGCUCCGGGAGCCCGCAGAGAGCUGAGCGCAGAGCCGGGGGAGAAACCAGCCACAAAUGUAAUAAUAAAAAGGAGAAGCCCCGAGUUCCUGGCCGCGCCGAGCUCCGCACCACGUCGGCAGCCGGAGUUGGCUCGGGGCUUUCUUUUUUCCUUUUUUUUUUUUUUUUUGGCUGUAAGUCCACGUAUAGAAAGCAAGCAGGAGAGCAGCGAAGCGGGGCCCGGUGCCUACCUAGGCCGGCGCAGCCCGGCGCUCCCGUGGCCGCCCGGGCAGGGCGCAGCUCGCAGCGGGCAGACCGCCCCAAACAAAAGUGGCGCCAAAACCCCCCGUGCCGGGCUGCGGCUCUUCCUCCUCCUCCCCCCUCCCCCUCACGAGGGCCGCCCCGGAGCCUGGCGGGACCCCGCCGCACGCGGCCCGGCCCGCGCUGUCCGUCCUGUACAAAGUCAAUAAAAUAACCACCAGGAGCGCCGCGCGGAGCUGCCCGGCUCUUCCCGCCGCUCCGUUUCCCGGCGCGGCCCAGCGCCCUCCUCCCGCGCGCCGCCCGCUCCUCUCCGGCUCUGCCCUCCCCGCCCGGCCGAGCCCGGCGGCGCACACACAAUGCCCGGGUCCUCCAUCUUGCCGGCAGCCGCCGUUCGGCUCGGGGGAAGGGGGAGGAGGAGAAGGAGGUUCUCCAUUUUAGCUCGCCGACCGCCGGGCCCGGCCUGCCCGCGGCCCACCCCGGGGCGGAGGAGCGGGCCCCGUGCCCGUGCCGGGGGGCCGCUUUCGGGGCCCUCCGCUCUCCGCCGGCGCCGCCGCUCGCGUGCCCCCUCCCCGCCGAGCGCGCCGGGGGGGUGGGGAGCGGGGGCCGGAGUGUUUUCGCGGCUCGGCCCCGCCGUCCUCCAUCUUGGCUGCGCCGAGCCCCGCGGCCUGCCGCCCCGCGCCGCGCCCCGGCCCGGCCCCGCUCCGUCGCCGCGCGCCCCGCUCCCGCGUCCCCCCUCCAAACUUCCAGAAGCUUCGCCGCCAUUUUCUAACUUACCUUGCCCAGCGUAGGCGCAGGCGGCGAGGAGGCCCGGGCGCGGCGCCGCGCUCCUCCGUCCCCGGCUCGGCCGCCGCUCGCGCGCCCGGCCCGGCCCGGAGACGUGCCGGCGGGGGGGUCUGGGCCCGGCGGGGAGCGGGCAGGUUAUUUAAUUUGGCGGCGGCGCCGGGGAUUGUUUGGGGUGUUCGCGGCUCGGCGGCUCGCGAGCGAAUGGAGGGCGCAGGCG
rnacentral:lncRNA from 1 species